CACGGGGGGAGCAAGCGUUGUUCGGAAUUACUGGGCGUAAAGCGCGCGUAGGCGGGUCGUUAAGUCAGGGGUGAAAUCCUGGAGCUCAACUCCAGAACUGCCUUUGAUACUGAAGAUCUUGAGUUCGGGAGAGGUGAGUGGAACUGCGAGUGUAGAGGUGAAAUUCGUAGAUAUCCGCAAGAACACCAGUGGCGAAGGCGGCUCACUGGCCCGAUACUGACGCUGAGGCACGAAAGCGUGGGGAGCAAACAGG
rnacentral:rRNA from 1 species